rnacentral:lncRNA from 13 species
CUCAGAGAAUACACCAUCUUCUGAGAAGAAGGAGCCCCGUGCUGUGAUAGAAUAUCCAGAGAAAUUCAGAGAACCUCAGGCUGCUUCAGAUUGGAAGCCCACACCUACUGCAGGCUGUUUUCCAACCAGAAAAUGAUACGAUGGGGGUCUCACUCUCUCCCCAAGGCUGAAAUGAAGUGGCAGAAUCACAGUUCACCACAUCUUCAAGCUCCUGGGCUCAAGCAAUCUUCCUACCUC